rnacentral:tRNA from 1 species
GUUUAAGUCAGCUAAUAAAGCUAAUGAGUUCAUAUCUCAUAGAUGAAUUUAUAUUAAUUCCCUCUAUU